CGUUAAAGCUUCAUUGGUCUUUAUAAAAAUUCCUUUAAUUCUUUACAACCCCUAAUUUGUACUGAAUGGUCUCAUGACUUCAUGAGAGCCUAUAUGUUAGAACUAGUAACAAGAAGAAGCCCUUCUCCAAAAUGUAAGCAUAAGCCGAAACGAACAAUUCAUCGGCAUUUAAAGUUAAUAAUCCCCUAGUAGUAACUUUUCAAGAAAAACCUACUAUAUUUAACGUCAACCUUACACCAGCUCAUUUAUGGAAAGAUUAAAAGACUAGGAAGGAACUCGGCAAAUAAUUAACCCCGCCUGUUUACCAAAAACAUCGCCUCCUGAUUCCCAUAGGAGGUCCAGCCUGCCCAGUGACAAAGUUAAACGGCCGCGGUACCCUAACCGUGCAAAGGUAGCGCAAUCACUUGUUCUUUAAAUGAGGACUAGUAUGAACGGCAUCACGAGGGUUAUGCUGUCUCCCUACUUUAUUCAGUGAAACUGAUCUCCCCGUGAAGAAGCGGGGAUAAAAAUAUAAGACGAGAAGACCCCAUGGAGCUUUAAACUCAGUAUCAACUGCCAUAAUUAAAACCUAAUAUCCAAGCAGCAUAUGACUACUAGUUUUCGGUUGGGGUGACCACGGAGUAAAACCUAACCUCCAUGAUGAAAGGAAAUAAUAACCUAAAUUAAGAGCUACAACUCUAAAUAUCAUAAAAUUGACUAAAUUGAUCCAAUUAAUUGAUCAACGAACCAAGUUACCCUGGGGAUAACAGCGCAAUCCAUUUCAAGAGCUCUUAUCGACAAAUGGGUUUACGACCUCGAUGUUGGAUCAGGGUAUCCCAGUGGCGCAGCCGCUACUAACGGUUCGUUUGUUCAACGAUUAAA
rnacentral:rRNA from 1 species